rnacentral:rRNA from 1 species
UCGGCAAUGGGCGAAAGCCUGACCGAGCGACGCCGCGUGUGGGAUGAAGGCCUUCGGGUUGUAAACCACUGUCAACGGGGAGGAAGUGUAGAGGGGUACUCCCCUCUAUUUGACCUAUCUGUGGAGGAAGUACGGGCUAAGUUCGUGCCAGCAGCCGCGGUAAUACGAACUGUGCGAACGUUAUUCGGAAUCACUGGGCUUAAAGGGUGCGUAGGCUGUUACCUAAGUCAGGUGUGAAAUCUCUCGGCUCAACCGGGAAACUGCGCUUGAUACUGGGUGGCUAGAGUGAGGUAGGGGUGUGUGGAACUUCCGGUGGAGCGGUGAAAUGUGUAGAUAUCGGAAGGAACGCCAGCAGCGAAAGCGGCACACUGGGCCUUUUCUGACGCUGAGGCACGAAAGCUAGGGGAGCGAACGGGAUUAGAUACCCCGGUAGUCCUAGCCGUAAACACUGAACACUCGAGGAGGGGGGCUUCGGCCUUCUUCUUCUUAGCGAAAGCGUUAAGUGUUCCGCCUGGGGAGUAUGGUCGCAAGGCUGAAACUCAAAGGA